rnacentral:lncRNA from 10 species
GAGCCACCAGAAAUGGAACUAUUGAAAUUUUUCAGGCCAGAAAACAUUACAGUUUCCUCAAGGCCAUCAGUAGAGCAGCUUUCUAGUCUCAUUAAAACGAGUCUUCACUACCCAGAAUCAUUUAAUCAUCCAUUUCAUCAAAAAAGAUGUAUGCAGGGUUCACCUGGGGAAAUGUAAGAAAUACUGAAGGAUGGGCCGGGCGCGGUGGCUCACGCCUGUAAUCCCAGCACUUUGGGAGGCCAAGGCGGGCGGAUCACGAGGUCAGGAGAUCAAGACCAUCCUGGCUAACACGCCUUUGUUUAGUACCAGUCACUCUUUUACUUUCCAAUUGUUCUAAGGCUGAUGUAGAUGUCAUAGUUGAUCUUCGGCAUAAAACAACAAGUCCAGAAGCACUGGAAAUCCAUGGAUCAUUCACAUGGCUUGGACAAACACAGUAUAAACUUCAACUUAA